GCCCGCCUAGCUCAAUCGGAUAGAGCGUCAGACUCUUAGGCGGGUUAGUCACGUAUGUGACAUCUGAAGGCUGCGAGUUCGACCCUCGCGGUGGGCU